GGCKGUGGGCSUAAGACUUGGSAGGUCGAACGCGAAAGUUCCUUCGGGGGCGAGUAGAGUGGCGGACGGGUGAGUAACGCGUAGGAAUCUGCCUGGUAGUGGGGGACAACUCGGGGAAACUCGAGCUAAUACCGCAUACGCCCCAUGGGGGAAAGAGGGGGACCUUUGGGCCUCUUGCUAUCGGAUGAGCCUGCGUCGGAUUAGCUAGUUGGUAGGGUAAAGGCCUACCAAGGCCACGAUCCGUAGCUGGUCUGAGAGGACGAUCAGCCACACUGGGACUGAGACACGGCCCAGACUCCUACGGGAGGCAGCAGUGGGGGAAUAUUGGACAGUGGGGCGCAAGCCUGAUCCAGCARUGCGGCGUGGUGUGAAGAGGGCCUGCGGGGUUGUAAAGCACUUUCAGGAGGGAAAAAAGCGGGGGCGUUAAUACCGGUCUUGUCUUGGACGUUACUUCCGAAGAAGCACCGGCUAAC
rnacentral:rRNA from 1 species